GGACCUGCAGGCAUGCUCCUUGUCAUGUCCUAUGUCCACAGGCAGUGGGUUUCCUCUCUCUGCAAGUUCACCUGGGCAGAGCCUGCUUCCUCAGCUUUGGGCCACUUCAGUCUUUUCUCCACCCCAGAUGUUUAAGUGGCCCUGACUCACAGCUGGUUACAUGGGAGUAUGCAGCAAAGAGUUAUGAUGCCUCCUGAUCUUCAGCUUCUGGAGUCCCGUGGAGUUAAUCCAGGUCCCUCAGGGUCCUCAGAUGCCCAGUUACAGGCUCUGAACCUAUGGUGCCAGAUCACAUGUACUUCAGCCCUCCACCACUACAGGUGUUCGAUUGGACUAUGAAUCGCUGGGAUUUCAAAAUAUUCAGGCUUAAUGACCCAGUUCUGGCUCAUGUCUAUAAAAUUCAGGGAACCUUAGCUAAGCCAGUUGAAAUCCAUGGAGAAAUGGGGUCUCAGAGCUGCAGAGGGGAGGAGAAAAGGACCCAGAACACAGCUGCCUCUGCUCUGGCAGACCCAGGAGUCUGAGCUAAUGCAGCAAGGAGGGACCCAGGGAGCCAGACCUUAGUGAUGGGUGAGCCACACUGUCUCCAUGGGCAGAGAAAGUAGCAUUUACUGGAUGGAGCAGGAACUCAUUUCCUUUCCAAAGAAAGGGCAACCUGUUCAAGUGGAAAGAAGAAGAGAAUUAUUAGCAUGUGAAGCCUUCAGCUUCUUGAGGCAGAAUGGCAGGAAAUGGUUGCCUGGGGAACCCCUGCAGCUCAGGCUCAUCUGAGGUGGGCCAGAGAAUUGAGUUCAAACUCUGGGCUGGCCAUUUUGUGGCUUUAUGACCUUGGGCGGCCAUGUAAUCUCUCUGAAUUCAGUUGCCUUUUCUUUAAAGUGGGGAGUAAGAACACCUCUUUAUGGGUUAUUGUGAGGACUUCAGGGUGAUAUUUUUGAAGUACCAUGUACAAGACAGGCACUUGGUAAAUGCUGAUCUUCCUCUUUCCAUCCUCAAUGAACAUCAUUUCUGUGGUAGCUGGUCUCUAAAGAUGGCCUUCAGUGAGCCAGGCCUCCCAACAUUCAUACCCUGGAACCUGGGCUAGCUCUCACCAACAGAAUGCAGUGCAAAUGAUACUGUGUAAUUUCAAGGCUUGGUUACUAGGAGCUGAAGCAUUGCAGCUUCUCCUGAGCCUCUUGGAAGGCUUGCCCUUGGAAUGCCCCUUUCAGAAGCCAGCUGCCAUCAUCUUAUGAAGAGGA
rnacentral:lncRNA from 1 species